GCACGUUCUAAGUUGGUGGGGGGAUGGAAUAGCCAGCUGCUUGCAGCUUGUUUUUAUCGGCACAUUUACAGGACAAAGGACGCUGGCGGAGAAGUGAGAACGGUUUUAAGAAGCGAUUUAAGGUGGGCCGGAUCUACGAGUUUUUUCGUAGGCUCUGGUAAUUCUAGUGUUAAAGAAUUUCUGC